AUUGAACGCUGGCGGCAUGCCUUACACAUGCAAGUCGAACGGUAACAGGUCUUCGGAUGCUGACGAGUGGCGAACGGGUGAGUAAUACAUCGGAACGUGCCUAGUAGUGGGGGAUAACUACUCGAAAGAGUGGCUAAUACCGCAUGAGAUCUACGGAUGAAAGCAGGGGAUCGCAAGACCUUGUGCUACUAGAGCGGCCGAUGGCAGAUUAGGUAGUUGGUGGGAUAAAAGCUUACCAAGCCGACGAUCUGUAGCUGGUCUGAGAGGACGAUCAGCCACACUGGGACGGAGACACGGCCCAGAAUCCUACGGGAGGCAGCAGUGGGGAAUUUUGGACAAUGGGCGAAAGCCUGAUCCAGCAAUGCCGCGUGCAGGAUGAAGGCCUUCGGGUUGUAAACUGCUUUUGUACGGAACGAAAAGCCCCGGGUUAAUACCCUGGGGUCAUGACGGUACCGUAAGAAUAAGCACCGGCUAACUACGUGCCAGCCGCCGCAGUAA
rnacentral:rRNA from 1 species